rnacentral:other from 1 species
AUAUCCCUGCGGUGCACGUUGGAAUUUUGAUAAUUGUUGAACCAACAUUAAUAUCAAGGGAGCCCGUGAUUUUUAGGCGCUUAGGCGUUUAAAAUAGGGCACCCACCUGAAACCAAACUGGUUCAGACUAUUCAGUCCAACGGCACACUUGCUGGGAUUUU